UUUUUUUUUUUUCAGAGAACGCAAAUGCAAUGCCGAAACCAUGCGACCCAAUGGAACCGACUGGACAAUACAACGGAGUGUUUUACUUCAGCAUAAAUGCCACACGUUUUAUUUUCGAUUCACCAGUUCUGGCCGAAGGUUUUAGGACAGGAAGUGACGGGAAUUCAAAUUAUGUCUUUACGGAGUUGCAGUUUCGCACAACCGUUGCGACGCCCUCAAGUGGUGGUCCAAGUGCUUUCUGGUGAGCAUCGAAAACAUUUACGUUGCUAAUGUUAACCGCGACACCAUCGCGCACACCAUUAACAAGCUAUCUGUGCGCCAACUUUGGAAGGACUGCGAAAAAGCCUGGUCACCGAAUGUCUGUGUCAAUUUCCUGCUGCGGCUGGUGGACCAGAUUCGCGGCUUUAUGUCGGUAGUCGACUGCCCCAAGACCGUGUAUCUGAUGAAGUUUGAUGCUAGCCAGGGGAGAUCUCGUACACUUCGUAUCUUGGCAGGAACCAGUACACCUUCAUUCCCGAUUGGUUUCGCAUCAUGUUGGACGAGCGCAUGGAGGACCUAACCCCCACAACACUUCAUAAGAAUUCAAGAAAAUAAUUUUUCAUUUCAUUGUUGAGUAGAUAAAUGAAGUUUUAAGUUUA